GGGGCUGUUUUGGCUUUCGACGGGAAUUUUUUAAUAUAAAUUGCAUACCAGCUGAUAUCUGUCACUAUCACCAAAUAUAAAUGCAAACAAUGCAAAUUACGCUCCAGCCUACGCUAAAGCUGCAUAGGUUUAACUAACACCCGGAGCUGGUCUUUAUUCCAUCUACUAAGCGCGACUUAAAGACCAUAACCCUAGCUUAGUGGCUCUUCUUAAAUCAGACAAAAGUUAAGAAGCUAAGACUACUUGUCCUACUUUUAAGUCCUUCUUUUUUGGGCAGUUUUUAAAACUUAUAAGUAGUAUCUACAAAAACUAUCCUAAGUAUGUAGAGGUUUAUAUAAGGGAAGAUUUUCGGACUGGGGUUCAAUUCCCCACAGCUCCACCA
rnacentral:tmRNA from 1 species